UAACUAAUUAGCAGCAACUAAAACAUCAGUGUGUUAUCAAUAUUAUUCUCAUACAAACCCCAAAACCACAGUACUGUAGCAGUUCCUAAGAAGAGAAUGAGCUCUGUCCCAGCUGAAACCAGGAUAAUCCUGUAGAGAAGUCAGACCCCAUCAUGAGAUUUGAAGUGGAUAAUAGCACAGCUAAAACUGUGAUUUAAGAAAAUUAUCACUGUGUUUGUAAAUAGGCAGGAAAGCCUAUUGGGUUAACCAAGGCCAGAGACAGGCAAGAUGAGGGUAUUAACUCUGUGGAUGGUUUGGAAAGCAACACACUAGAGGUGACACCUAUUCUCCAGUAGACAUCACUGUAUACAUUUUAAUUGCAAAAGAAGGUAAAAUAUUGUUUGGACAAACAUACCAUCUGAAAAGGAAUGUUGAUCUUUAUAGAUUUGCUUGUGAUCAAAAAGAGUCCUUUGCACUACCAUUGCAUUUUAGACUUCUGCUCCAGAUAGAGCUGCAAAAAAUAUGGGUUGUGAGAUUUUUGUUUGUGGAUUUUGUAGUUUCAUUUUGUUUUGUUCUGUUUUAAAUAGAGUUUUCUCUGUAACUGGUAUUUUUACAGAAGUUUUCCCUGAGAGAGGAUCUUGGGAAAAUACCAGCUAAGGAAGUUCCACUGAACUCAGAAAUAUAUAUGAACUGUGUGAACUGCUCCUUUAGGAUGUGUGUGUGGGAGGUAACUUUUCCAGCUGUGACAAGUUUAGUCCUGCUGGCUGGAGGAAAGGGAAUACCAUAGCUAUGAGGCAAGGGAAUGUUUCAGUAAAGCUGAUUUAGGUGUAUAUAGCAUGAAGCACCUAAUGUAGAUCACCAUUGUUCAACAAAGAGGCACAACCUGCUCCUGUAACUUGGAGUCUGGCAAAAGAGAACUUUCUGCAUAUGCUCCCCUCUUCUGUCCCAUUUCUCUGGCUCACAGAGGGAUAUGGACAAACAACUAGUUACUGCUGAAUAAACAAAGGUGUGUGCAGCCUGCUAAUUUCCAAGGAACAGCUUCCACGCACAUGUCUUGCAGUGAAAAAGAAAUAAUUCACAGUAGUCUUACCAUCAGUGGAAGAGGGCUGAGGGCUGGCUGAGCUGCUUUGUGUAUAUCAAUGGCUGUGUGUUUACUGAAGAACCAUGGACAGACUGUAAAUGCCAAUCUCAGUUUGCGACACAGUCACUCUGGCCAGGUGUGUUUUAUGUGAGGCUCCCUUCUCGUCUUUCCUGCUGUCUGACUGUUCACUGCUCACUUUUGGCACAGCAUGACACAUGAAUCUCUGCCUAGCCCUUUACCUUACAAGGGGAGAAACAGGUAGAUUAGUGCAGUUAAGACUGGCUUAUAGAUACUAUGUCUGUCCUCAUCAUGUGACAAUAGAUGUUGGGUAAUUUCCUUCCUCCUUCUGUGCUUAAUUGUCCCAUAUGUACAGUGCAGCUGAUGAAGCCAAGCUCUUAAAUAUAUUAAAUUAUAUAAUGUAACUCUUAACUAUAUAACUCUUAAAUUCUUUAACUUAACUAUAUAACUCUUAAAUUCUUUAACACCUGAAGAUUUAAGAGUAGUAGACAGCUGCAUUUUGCCCCUUUUUAGAGUUACCUUACAAGAGCACUGUUAUUACACAACAGUGUGGAAUAAGCAACUGGAAACAGGCACAGGUACUCUUACUGAAUGUAAAAAUACUACAUUUCUCAAGGUAUUUAUAUUUAUCCUGUUGGAGGUAUUUUACAAAUCAGAAGAGAAGGGUCGGGCUUUUGAAACGUUAUUAAAUUAGGCAAAGUGCAUUCUGCAUUUGGAUCACAACUUAGCUGAUCUCAUGUAAUCAAAUUAAAAAAUACACAAAAUACACUAUAAAUUCAACAGAACAUAUUUUUCUCUAAAGAUAGUAUAUUUGGAACUAGAAAAAUCACUUAUUAUUUGGAACACUUGUCAGUAUCAGGAAGGAAAGCAAUGAGCUACUUAAAUCAUAAGAAAAAUAGUGCAAUGCAUUUAUUUUGUCAUAAAUUGUCUAAAGUGUAGACAAUUUCUAGUGAUGGAAAUUUAGAAAAUACAGAAGAAUAAAUAAAUUAAAUGUAUCAAAGAAUUUGGGAGCCCAAACCUGAAGCACUUAGGCAAGACGAAGUCUUCUUGGAUGAUAUCUCUGAUCUUGUUGGAAGUUGGUGUCAAUGCCAGAGAUUCACUUGUUUUGGUUUAGCCCUUUGCUAUGAGCAGGUGUUUCAUUUACACUUCCAAAAAUUUCUAAUUUUUGAAGAAAAUCCUCUGAAUGUGAAUGCCUUCUUUUCAAAGCUGAUUGUGGAUAAGAUACCUAUCCCUGAGUCAAAGGACCAGUGUAGUCUAAAUGCCUUCGCUAAACUGAUCCAUUGAUAAAUUGAUGUUUCUGUUCUUGUUGCCUAUUUUUUUUUUUCUUUUCAGACUUGCUUCUUUUUGCCUUUUUUCCCCCCCAUUUCUUUAUCUAGUAUAAUUAUUCAGACUGAAUUCAACAGAUAACAUUCUGCCAUGGAAUGUUCUUUUUUUCUGUUGCUCAUGAUUCCUAUGAAUUUUCAGGUUUCAAAAACCCUAGAUACUAUAUGGCUUCUCGUUACCACUUGCUCCUUAGAUAUCCAAUAAAGGGGUACUCUCUUCUCUAAUGCAGGCUUGCUACUUGAAAUUUUGCCACGUGAACCUUUAUUUUCCCUUGAGAUGCUUUUUUCCAAAAUUAUUUUUUUCUUUAAUAAUUUUAUCCUCAAAGGAAGAAAUGUGCCUCUCCUCUUCCUUCAGUCUUUCUGUAACAUUUCAGCUCCAUGUUCAGGAUAUUUUUUUGACCUUUUAUAUCCCCUACAUCUAAUGACAUUUGUUUCAUCAGCUUUAGUAAAGAUGAAUGACCUUUUAACUCUUUAAAAAAAAGCAAAUCCAUUUUCAUCUUUCUUUGCUCUCUUUUCUUGUUAUAGAAGGAAGCUUUACUCUUUCCUUUUACUUGCUUUAAAGUCUCAGAGUGAAAUCCUGGUCCUUAUUAAGUUUAGGGAAAGAUUUCUGCGGAUGUAGUCGAGCCCAGAAUCGACUACUGGUUUUAUUGUGAAGGCAAAAUUAUUGCCCAAAUUUUCAAGUAAAGAGUUAGUCUUUUUAGCCUUCUUUUUCCAAAAUAGUAAACAUGCAGAUUUUAAUAUUUAGUCUUGGUAAAUGGUGGUUCUAUGCCUAGAAGAACAACUUCAGAGAAAGGUACUAAUUGAGAUUAUCAUUGGAGUUAGAAAAAACUGUUUCCUUAUCAAUUAAAAAAAAAAAAAAGUUAAAUAUCAAAAUCUAGCUCUUUAUUCAGAAUUGGGAUGCACUUUAAUUCUUUAUGUAAUAAAACAUAACUAAUUCAUUAAAAGAAAGUGUGCCUGGGAUGUAUCAGAUUUACACACAAAAUCAUGGUCUGCUUUUUAUGGAGAACAGAGCAAGUCUCUGCUUCUGGAAAAUAACCUGUCCAAUUGGUUAUUUUGGGAUGUGGCAAGCUCCUACCAGAGAAAAAGAUCAGCUGUGAAGUCAAAACCCAAGUAAAAUGAGAGAUUGGCUAUAUAAGAGAGUGAUGAAAAAAAAUAAAUGUUUUCUGUGCUCUAACCACACUUCCUUUUUUUUUUUUAAUUACAGAAUAUCAGUGGGUAACAGCUGAAUGAUCUGGCUCCUAAAUUCUCUUUAGUUUAAAAUUAAGGAAAUUUAUAGUUAUCCUUGUUAUAAGUUUGUAUAGAUUUAGCUCAUUUUGAUGGUUCUCAGAUGAAAUUUGUGGUUAUCUUGCAGGGACUCUGACAUUGACAAGUGGGAGAAUUAAUGUCUGUGUAACACUUAGCUGUGUAUGAAUCAUGAAGGAAUAUUUUUGCUCUGAUGUCACUGGGUAAAACAUCUUUGGAUCUGUAUUUUGUUUCCCCCUGCUGUCUUAUUUCCAAGUAAGAUUGAUAAAUGCUAAGAAAAAUGCCGCUUUUAUAGAGAGUGUUUUAGGAGUUGUUAAAGUUAACAAACUUGGAAGAGUAAGACAAGUAAGUGCAGCAUGUCCUGUUACAUGAUAUCUACCUCUUCAAACGCAUAUUGUACAUAGCAGCUCCCCAUGCUUACAGAAAGCCAUCUGCUCUUCAAAUGCAGUUGUAAAUAGAUAUAAGUCUUCUAGACCUAGAGUAUGUACAGACUCCCACUGAACAAUAUUGAUUCUAUAGAAAGGAGGUUGACCUUGGAGCUGGGACCUGCAGGAGCCGGGGUUGUUGUUGUGCCCCGUGGGCUGUGAAGCUGAUGGUAUGCAGGAGUCCUUCUCUCUCUGUCCAAAGCUUGUGUUAAUGGGUAUUUCUGUCUGUUUCUUAUCCUCCCUUUCAGCAGUUUGUAGUUAUCUGGAAACUGAAGAAAACGGUCUUUUCCUGUACUUCAGUUUACCACCUUCAGUGGUCUCAAAAAUAACAGCCAAAUUCUCUUCUCAGCUAUUAAGUAAAAAAGGGAACUCUUUGCAAAGCUUAUUUGUGCUUUUGCUGCUUUCUAACAAAUAUAACCAAACAUUGUAAAUAUUUUUCCUUGGUUCAUUUAAUAUAAAUAGAAAGUCCUGUAAAGGAGUGAAUUUAUCUAAUAAUAUCUAACCAGGUAAUGAGAUCUUGAUUCAUUAAUUUGUCCCUUGGCAUCUUGGGCAUAUGAAGCAGAUCAACAAAUUUUUUGUAUUGGUAAUUUAUUCUGUGAUGCUGUGUUUGAUGGUGUUUAUUUUUUUGAUCAAAUAGGAUCUUUUCCCAUAUAAUUCCUCAUCUGCUAAUAACAAGCAUGGUCUAUAACUCAUGUUGACUUAUCCUCAUGAGAGACUUGCUCGCAUUCACUCCCAAGAGUAAAUAUUAAGAUGACAUAUUAUUAAGGAGUGUUAAAUAUUUAAAUUUAUUAGCAGAUGGGACUUAAUUUUUUUUUCUGCUCAUCAUAGAGUUGUUUAUAGAAGUACAGCAUUAUUAAAAAUUUGGUCAUACUAUAAAAUAUCUGGCUAAAAUAUGGCAAGAAAAGUCCAUCUUCGGAAAGAAUGUGCCAAGGCCCUUAGGGCUAUACCACGGCUUUACUUUGAUUCAUCUGUGUUAAUUAGCUGCUUCCUUAUCCCACCUCUGAACCAAGCAGCAGAUGUCAUCCACCUUAAUUCAGUUCCUCCAAAGAGUAUGUACUACUGGAGUUGUGUCAUUUCAUUUUAAAAGGAGUUCUGGUACAGCCUCUAUUAAAGACACAAAGCAGUGUUAUCUCAUUGAUUCCAGUAGCCACCUCAGUAUCCUUCUGCUAAAUGGCAAGUAGAGAGCACAGGCUACCUGUGAUUCAUACCCUUGCAAAACCAGAUGUACACAUCCCUUUCCAUUGUUUAUAUUAAUAUGGAGGUCCUACAGGGAGCUGCUUGCUCUUACUUUAUGGUGCUGUCAGCGAGUGCAGUUUUGUGAGGGAAAAUGAAGGGAAACACACUGCAGGGCUACAUUAACCAUGGAUUUUCUCAAAGCAGAUUCCAAGACCUCCUUGCUCAAAUGCCUCCAAGCAGAGGAACGCCUUGUCUUUAGACACUGACUAGAAAUUGGGGUGGGCAUCAAUAUCAGUAAGGCACAGCGACCUCCAGAUGCACUUGGGGAGCCUUGCUAGUCCCAGGAUGCAAAAUUGUGUUAUCCAAAGGGCUGAGAUAGCAUGAUCUUUGUCAUGUAGCAAAUCAGCUUUUGGAAGGUUCUGAUCUCUUUGGGUUGUCACCAUUUCUUGAACUUUUCAUGGAGUGCUACAACUUUGUUCUUGUACCAAGGUGAACUGUGCACUUCCUGUGCACAUCCGGUGCACCAGAAAUUAGGCUGAGUGAACAUAAAUUACCUGAACAUGUUGUCAGUCUUCCAAAGUGAGGAAUAUAUAUGAAGUAUUUUUCUACUCUGAAACCCCAAUUCUGCUAGAAGGAAUAACUUCAAGGAAGAGUCAUCCAGAGUAAAAUCUUCUGGGCUGCAGUAAGUAUGGAAGUGGACACCAUGAUCUUUUUUGACCUUAAACUCUGCAGAAUUAAGUUGGUUUUGUGCAACCUAUUUUUAAGGCCACCCUUCUGUAAAAGUUGCCACCACUGCCAACCCAUUUGUGAUUCUCCUGACAAGUUAAAUGGAUGAAGAAAAGGUGGUGAGUUGAAAUCCGGUUUAUUUUCUGAGUUCUGUGAGUGUCUAGGUAUUAUCCCAUGUGUCCAAGAGAAGAAUGUGUAGAAUAAUAGCACUGUAUUUGGAAAUACGAUCAUGUUUUCUGUCUUCCUCUAUUUAAUGUACAUUGGCCAUAGCUUUUCAUUUACUUGCAUUUAGGUCGUGCAUUUAGGCAUGCAUCCUCCCUGGAUUACAUUCUCCAAAGCUAGCAGGCUGCAUUGCUCCAUUGAUUUCAGUGGAGUUAUGACUAUUUAUGCAUCAGUCAUGUAUAGGAAAGCAUAAUGAAGGGUUCAUUCAAAACCAGAAUUGAAUAUCUUGCAAUCCAUCCUCACCCUCUGCCCUCAAGAAUAAAAUAGAAAUAAUUUAAUAGAUAAUUUUUUCUUUUUUUUUUUUUUCUUUUUUUCCCAGAAUACUGAAAAUGUGUCUUGCUCUGGGAUAGAUGAUUUGGGUUUAGUGCAAAAUUUUCACUGCCUGUUUGCCAUUUUUCCUCAUACCUGCUGUCGGAAAUGCAUCAGGAAACACAAGCGAGUCUAACUGACAGCUCUGUGGAGGCGAAGAUAUGAAAUCUUGGAACUGUCAUACUGGAUCCAAAGUGCAGUCUACUUGAUUUUCCUUCCCACUCCUGGCACACAAAAUUGCUUCUCUUUUCACCAACCAUCUUGAGUCUUCCAGUGUGUCAUAGAGGAGAAAGGGGAGUAAAACUCUUAAUGGCUGCUCCUCAGUAAAAGUGACUGGAGCCAUUGAAAAUGGUGGUGUCGAGGUGUUGCCCACUGUCCUUUGCCCGGUGCUACUGCCCUAGGAAAUUUGGAAAGGGAUAUGAGUUGCAACUUGGAAGCUGCAACUGAGAGAAACAGAAAUUAUUGUUCCUAAAUGUGGAUCUAGACUGGAGAGAUGUCAGACUAACAGGCUGAAGCUGCAUGUUUUAUACUUGGCUUUGUGUAUGGACCAAUGGGUGGAAGAAGAAUUAAAUAAUUCUGAGUUGAGAAAAUAAAAAAAAACCCAGCUCUUCAAAAGGAAAAA